CCUACGGGUGGCAGCAGUGAGGGAUAUUGGUCAAUGGGGGAAACCCUGAACCAGCAACGCCGCGUGAGGGAAGACGGUUUUCGGAUUGUAAACCUCUGUUCUUUGUGAAGUUAAUGACGGUAGCUGAGGAGCAAGCUCCGGCUAACUACGUGCCAGCAGCCGCGGUAAUACGUAGGGAGCGAGCGUUGUCCGGAUUUACUGGGUGUAAAGGGUGCGUAGGCGGGUAAGCAAGUCAGAAGUGAAAUCCAUGGGCUUAACCCAUGAACUGCUGUGGAAACUGUUGAUCUUGAGUGCAGUGGAGGCAGGCGGAAUUCGCGGUGUAGCGGUGAAAUGCGUAGAGAUGGGGAGGAACACCAGUGGCGAAGGCGGCCUACUG
rnacentral:rRNA from 1 species